AACGGCGAAACCCACCGCGCCGAGCCGCGCUCGGCUUUAAUUACCGCUUUCCCGUCAAAGUUCUGGGGGGAGGGGGGGGUUCGCCGGGGAACUUUACGGCUUUCUUAAAGCGGCAGCUCCUGGGCUCCCGUAAUUACGCUCACAAUGACGAAGAGGAGCAGUCCCAGCCUCUGCACUACUUCUGGCUUCAUUUCCACAUCAGCAAAAAGGACUUCCCCAGCCCAUUUUACAGUGCCAUUUGCUGAGAACACUUAAAGAAUGUCUUCUUGGAUUUUGCUCUAUCACGCAGAAGCAUUUUCAUGGCAAGCAGCAAGUGUGAAAGCUCCUAACCUCCACAUCAAAGAUGGAGCCAACAGAGCUGGGUAGCCACACGGUGCUUUCCCUUUCCACUGUUUCCAGCAUCAAACUACCUCAAAAAUAAACUAAAAGUUAGUUUCUUACCUAUUACUGUU
rnacentral:lncRNA from 1 species